ACCUGGGUGCACCGCAACCCAAAACACUGAGACACCAAGGUCUGCAGCAAAGAGAGGAUCCAUCAGCAGGGCCACCAAGCAAGGAGAUGGGAAAACAAACCCCAAAUCCGGUUCCCCUCAGGCAAGGGGCUUAUGUGUUUAUGGGAUGAAGACUGAAGAAGCAGGUCGUCUGAGACACGGGACCGUGGGGAAAGGUGAUAGAAAAGGGUGUCCCGGUCGUCGCUUUGUGCAGGCAUAGCUCAGCAACAGGCCUUUGCAUGUUCGCACACUCAGUUGAAAGGUCAGUGGUCCCAGCCAGUCUCAACCAGCUCAGCUCAAACUGGACACCGCUGACUCUUGCGCAGCUGAACUAGACACAGCUGACUCCAGCUUUCUGGAAAACAACCGGAGCAAACGUCUUAUUGUUUAGGCGCCUUGCAGCCUGGAGGAUGAGCCAGACGUCUGCAGCAACAAUUAAAAGCACCUUGAUGAGUAAAGGCAGGUGCGAUGGGUUUAACUAAUCCUUGGUUUCAAUCCCUCAGACCCAGCCAGGCCCCACCUGUUCCAGGCUGCGCCUCCAAGGCCCCAUUGACCCAUCCCCCCGCUAGUCCCCCCAGGGAUCUGUUGCUGCCCCCGCGACACUGAGCACUUCCCACCGUCAGCAUCACCUUCUCUACUGGUCUGUAAGGUUACUGUCCUUUGCGUCCUUACCACCAGUUCUCCUGACACAGAAAAAGUGCUCAGACGUAUCUGCUGAAUGAACCAGAAAAGCCACAAUAUCUUGGCUCAGCCUUAGCGAGAGUCAAGGUACCAGAUGGAAGCUGGUCCAUGCAGACCCUCAGUGCUGUAAGGGCCCUAUGGCAGCCAGGCCUGCCAUGAGCCGCCAUCCUGGAGUUCAGACCUUCUCCCGCCCCCUCCUGGAGUGCCUCAGCGCUGGCCUGCAUGACCAACAGAAUAAGAUGGAGCUGAAAGCUCGUGACUCUGAAGCCCCUCUGCUGUGCUCGGUCCUGGAGGGAGCCAGACAUCAGGCUCACCAGCCCACAGAGCCAGACACCAGCAUUGUCCGGGGAGCAAUAAUGGCUGUGUUUCCAGCAUCCCUGCCCACUGGCCCUGACAGAUACCGCAGUGGUUCCUGCCAGGAAAUUCCCUGCCACGUGAAAACCCAGAGGAGGAAGCGGAGCCCCAUGGACCUCUCAGGCUCCACCCAGAGUUGCAGGAGUAAAACAAGCCCAUCAUCUCGGGCCCGGGCAUCCACAGGGACCUGGGAGCCUGUGACAAGACACACACCCCCCCCGGCCUCAGGCGGCCGCCUCUGUGCUUACUCUACCAUGUCUGAGGUGGUUUGGGCCCUGUGUACCACUUGAUAGAGCCCUCAGGGGAAAAGUAUUGCCACCUCCAUUUUGCAAACAAGAAAACCAGGGCCAAGAUCUAACUCGAGGUCAGCACCAAGGUCAGCUUCACUCCUUCCGAGGCCACUGGCAAAGUGAGCCUGGGCAUCUGAGGGGAGAUCCUGGUACCCCCAGCCCACCCUCCCAUCCACGGUCUUCCCUGGGCUCUUCUCCUGGUGACCAGGCGCCUCGUCCAGCCUUCUUUCCCCUCAAGGACCGUGACCCCCGUCAUCGACUGGGCCAUCGCCCCAGAGGGCAGCUGAGCCCUGGCUACAGGGCUGUGUCCUCAUAUCAAGGAUCACCUGCCGCCCAACCCCCUGCUGGGGCAGACAGGGUCGGGGGGAGGGAGGGGCGGGGCUCAGCAGCAAGGGGCGAGGGAUGGGUGAAGAUCCCCCAGACUCGGGCAGGGUCUCCAC
ensembl:lncRNA